CUCUCUCUCUUCUUAGUUGGAACCGAAACGACCAGUUUACCGAAACAAUCAAAAAAAUCAAUUGAUAUUCUACAAAGACUUUGUUUCUCAAGACAUGCAUGAUCUUUGCUAUUUGAUCGGAGGAAAAAUAUGCAAACCUUGUAGAUCAGAUAGUAAUUUGAGAGAUCGAGUCAAGGAAACAGAUACUAUCCAGGUUGAAAGUAGCGGACGCAAAAUCAGUGGCCGAUUUGAAACGAAAUAUGUGGUUCGUCAAGUCAAUCGAGAAA